rnacentral:rRNA from 1 species
AUUGAACGCUGGCGGCAGGCCUAACACAUGCAAGUCGAGCGGAUGAAGGUAGCUUGCUAUCUGAUUCAGCGGCGGACGGGUGAGUAAUGCCUAGGAAUCUGCCUGGUAGUGGGGGACAACGUUUCGAAAGGAACGCUAAUACCGCAUACGUCCUACGGGAGAAAGUGGGGGAUCUUCGGACCUCACGCUAUCAGAUGAGCCUAGGUACGAUUAGCUAGUUGGUGAGGUAAAGGCUCACAAAGGCGACGAUCGUUAACUGGUCUGAGAGGAUGAUCAGUCACACUGGAACUGAGACACGGUCCAGACUCCACCGGGAGGCAGCAGUGGGGAAGAUUGGACAAUGGGCGAAAGCCUGAUCCAGCCAUGCCGCGUGUGUGAAGAAGGUCUUCGGAUUGUAAAGCACUUUAAGUUGGGAGGAAGGGCAGUAAGUUAAUACCUUGCUGUUUUGACGUUACCGACAGAAUAAGCACCGGCUAACUUCGUGCCAGCAGCCGCCGUAACAC